CUAAAUUACGUGCCCUCCGACACAGGAGAAAGGCAGGACCCGACACUGCACUGUCACCCGGACUCACUCGCACCAGUUGUCUCCUCUGAAAAAUGCUGGCUCACUCCACACUACAAAGGGAUACAUGCAAAAAUGUCCUCGGGUGAGGAUAAAAAAAAAAACAAAAAACAAGGAGACAAAUGUCAUCUUCAGUAUAGGAACUGCCUACCACCUGUUUCUCUCAAGAACAUUUUCUUUUGUCAACCAGCAUGAGAGAAUGUCAUAACAAUGCACAAUGUCUAAAACAUAUCAAUCAGGAAGAAAAUAGCAGAAAAUAAAUCUGAAGAUCCGGAGAAGGAAUGAAGGUUUCCUUUGAGGUGUGGGAAGGUA